AUUGAACGCUGGCGGAAUGCUUUACACAUGCAAGUCGAACGGCAGCACGGACUUCGGUCUGGUGGCGAGUGGCGAACGGGUGAGUAAUGUAUCGGAACGUGCCCAGUCGUGGGGGAUAACGUAGUGAAAAUUACGCUAAUACCGCAUACGAUCUAUGGAUGAAAGCGGGGGAUCGCAAGACCUCGCGCGAUUGGAGCGGCCGAUAUCAGAUUAGGUAGUUGGUGGGGUAAAGGCCCACCAAGCCAACGAUCUGUAGCUGGUCUGAGAGGACGACCAGCCACCCGGGAACUGGGACACGGUCCAGACUCCUACGGGGGGCAGCAGUGGGGAAUUUUGGAAAAUGGGCGAAAGCCUGAUCCAGCCAUUCCGCGUGCAGGAUGAAGGCCCUCGGGUUGUAAACUGCUUUUGUACAGAACGAAAAGGUUUCUACUAAUACUAGGAGCUCAUGACGGUACUGUAAGAAUAAGUACCGGCUAACUACGUGCCAGCCGCCGCCGUAA
rnacentral:rRNA from 1 species